rnacentral:sRNA from 4 species
AUAUCUCUCUGUACGGGAAGGAUGAGAAGCUUCGACUAAGGUUCGAUUCGAGCGCAGCGAGAAAGCGUUGCCGCAGGCAACGACCCGAAGGGCGAAGC